AAGAAGAAGAGAAGUAGAGGGAGAAGACAAAAAAGGAAGAAGAAGAGGGAAAAGAAGAGAGGAAGAAGAGGGAGAAGAGAAGAAAAGAAGAAGAAGAAGAGAGGGAAGAGGGAGAGGAAAGAGAGAUAGUUGCUGCAGCUAGGACUGCAGCACCUCUGUUUCGUGUAGGAGGAAACAGAGGAGUUCAUGUGGGGGGCGUCGGGGAGGAGAAGGGAAGAAUAAGAAGAAGAAGAAAAGAGGAGGUGGCUGCGGUAAGGGCAGCAGCGAGGAGCUGUGGGGCGUUGGGGAGGAGAAAGGAAGAAGAGGAGAAGAAGAAAAGAAGAAGAAGAGGGAAAAGAAGAGAGGAGAAAGAAAGGGAGAAGAGAAGAAUAGAAGAAGAAGAAAAAGAGAGAGAAGUGGGAGAGGAGCGAGAGAUAGCAGCAGCUAGGGCUGCAGCACCUCUGUUUCCUGCAGGCGGAAACAGAGGAGACGAGGUGUGGGGCGUUGGGGAGGAGAAGAAGAAGAGGAAAAAGAAGAAGAGAAAAAGGAAAAAAAGAAGGAUGGCUGCGGCAUGGGCUGCAGUGAGAAGGUGUGGGGUGUCGGGUAGGAGAAGGGAAGAAGAGGAUAAGAAGAAGGAGAAGAAGGAGAAGAAGAAGAAGAGGAAGAGAAGAAGUAGAAGCGGGUGAAGAGGCGGCACCUCUAUUUCCUGCAGGAGGAAACAGAGGAGAGGAGAUGAUGUUCGUCGGGGAGAAGAAGGGGAGGAAGGAGAAGAAGAGAAGAAGAAGAAAGGAAGGAGAAGGAAGAGGAGAAGGGAAAGAAGUAGCUGCGGCUGCGGCUGCGGCUGUGGCAGCUGCAGUUGGAAGAGAAGAAGGAGAGGAAGAUGAGCAGGGGUGGAAGAAGAGGUUGUGGCCGUGGCUGAGGCUGCGACUGCAGUAGUGCAGCUGGGAAAGAAGAGAAGGAAAGGAAGAAGAAGAGAAAGGAAAAGGGAAGAAGAGAGGAAGAGGAGAAGGGGAGGCAGCUACGGCAGUGGCAGCUGCAGUUGGAAGAGAAGGAGAGGAAACAGACCAGGGGAGGAAGAAGAGGCUGCGGCUGUGAUGGCCACGGCCGUGGUUGCGACUGCGGCUGCAGCUGCAACAUUGGCUGCGGCAGCGGUGGUGGCUGCAGCAGCUGCUUUUGGGAAAUAAAAAGAAAGGAAAAGGAAAAAAAAAAAAGGGGCUGUGGCCGUGAUUGCGACUGCGGUGGAGGCGGCUGCGUUGGCGGCAGUUGUGUUUGGGAAAGAAAAAAAGAAGAAACGAGAGAAGGGAGGAAGGAAGUAGUGUAGUGGAAGGGACUGUGGUUGUGACAGCAGUUGCGGUUAUGGCUACGACUGUGGUAGUGGCAGCGGCGAUGGCUGCAACAGCCGUGUUUGAAAAAGAAAACGAAGAAAUGAGAGUAAGAGAGAGAGCAGGUGACUAUGCCUCUAUGUUCUGCAGUUGUGGAGGAAAAAGAGCAGACAUAUGUAGAAAAUGAAAUAGGGAGAGGACACGGAGGAAAAGUAGAAGGAUUUGAGCUGACACCUUCUUUGGAUCUUCGGAUCAAAAUCUUUGAAAGGCAAGUGUUCUGAUCCUUCCUAUUGUAAGCUUUCUAAUCUUUUCUAUUGCAAGUGUCCUGAUCUUUCCUUAUUGCAAUUUUAUCUCUAUAUUUGCUUUGAAUAUGAGGAACUUUAAAUUGUUCUGGCCUUGCAUUUGAUAUAUCUCCUGUUUAGACGUAACGAUUCGAAUCUGUGCAACUUUUGAGAUUCUGACCUUUUGAUACCAAGCUGCCUAUAAGUCUUUGUUGGAAACUCCGAUUUGUUCAAAACUGAUUUCAUUGGAAACUAGACUCGUAGAUCUUUCUUUUGAUAUAUGGAUUGAAAGAUUUGGAGUCCAAACACUUGGCCAGUUAUCUGUUGAAUCUGACCUUAUGAAUUCUGCCAAACAGAGAUUUUGUUCUACGACCCUUGUUUACCAAAUUAUUUAUAACUCUCUCUGUUAGACAGUUCAAUUCAUAUGAAGCUUAUUUUAUUUGGAAGUAGAUUGAAAUAUCUUUCCAAUGAUAUAUUUUUGAGUAAAUUGGAGCACGAUUGAUAGUUUGAAUCAUUUGUUCAAUGUGCCUCUUGAAUUCUACCAGAAAUCGAGCUUUGGUCGAUUUCGCAUAUUCUGGUUUCAUUCCUUUGGAAAUUGAUUUCAUCUAACCUUCUUAUUUGAAUUGAGCUAUAUUUGAUUGUUUGGAAACCUUGUACGCUCUUGCUUUCAUUUCCUUUCAAAUCUGAAUACAUUUGUGAAGGAUUAUGUUUGCAUCGUAUUGACUCAUAAAGGCACAUGUACAUUUCGUUGUUCCGCAUGUGCUUCCGAUAUGUCCCAAUUUAUUGUUCACAAUACCUUUUGUACUCUGGUGUUUGUGGGAUUAUUUGAACCUUUGCCAAAAAUGGUAAAGGGUAUGUGCUUAGAGCUCGCGAUACUCUAGAUUAUGUUUGGUGGUCAUUCAGAAAUAGAUGGAUUAUAUUAUGUUUGGAAUCCCACUUCAACAUCUAUCUGUUUGAUAUGAAAUUUAGAGCCGACCUAGCACUUGGGCAAGGUGAGAGGGCUCGAGUAGGAAAGGGCUACCCGUGGAUGCAGUCGAAAACUCAUCACGGCGUGGAGCCACCACUGAGUUAAACCUCACAUGCACUAUGCUAGGGUACGACGUCUGAGCUUCUGUUUCGUAUUUUGUAUUGAUAUGCUCCAAAAUGUUUCCUAUGCCAUUGAUAUACUUCAAAAUGCUUCACACACCAUUGAUAUGUUCCGAAAUGUUCCAUUUGUCAUUGAUAUGCUCCGGAACAUUUCAUACGCUAUUGGUAUGCUCCAAUUACUCUGUGCUCCAUUUGUAAUGAACUGAUGUGUUCUGAAAUGUCCUAUUUGCCAUUGAUAUGCUCCGGUACAUCUCGUACGCUAUUGAUAUGCUCCAAUUACUCUAUGCUUCAUUUGUUAUGAACCAAAUAUGUUUUGAAUGACAUGACACAUAUGAUUUUGUAUAUAAUGAGAUGGUAUCCUUGAAAAUUCUUGUAUUCUGCCUUGUAUUAUGAUAUCUUACUUGUUUGAAACCGUUUCUUUUGUUCUGAAUAUACUUUGUCACUUGCUGAGUUGUUUUUAGCUCAUUCCGUUGUUAUAUAAAUCUUUCAGGUCAAGUUGUCACUCUUUGAGAUGUUUUGAAUUGGGCUGAGGUAAUGGAGAGCUAUUCAGAAUUAUGAGCAAGUCUUAUUGGUUAUUAUGUUAUUAUUGUAUAAGCAUAUUUUGUAUGUAAUGAAAUGUUGUCGAUGAAUCGAAAUGGAUAUACCGUGUAAAAGUGUUAGAAGAUCUCUCUUAUUUGGAAUUUCAGAAUGUUAAGUCUAAUUUAUGAUGAUAUGAACUUGUGGUGAAUAGUUGGAGUUCUGAUUGUAUAAUUUAUUUAGCUUGCGGAUUUAUAAAUGUUAUUCAUGUUUUUCAAGUUGGUUUGGGUUGCCAUAAAUGUGAAUUAUCGAGUGAUGUGAUAUAUGAUUAUAAACUGUAGAGGUUUUAUAGAUGUGAAUUUGAUAGAAUGUUUUUCAGUGUCCUCAAAUGUGUGUUUGGAUCCUGGAUGGAUUUAUGAUGAAAACUUUUAAUAUCAUUGAUAUUUUGAGGGUCGUGACAGAGGUGGUAUCAGAGCAUGGUUUGAGGAUUACUGAAAUAUUUGGUAUGUUGACGUGUAAAAUAUAUGGAGGUUUAAUAAACUAUAGUGAUUGGUGGAAAUUUUCUUUGAUGCAUUUUAGGAAUCUAUGAUGAUGAGGACAUAUGGUCCCCCAAUUUCAUUUGUUUCUGAUUAAUUAAGGGGGGUGAAAGGGUUGAUCGAGGAUACUAAAUCAGAGUAGCGCAAUGAAAGCAUGGUGAACCUAAUUUUAUUGGUGGUAGAAAAACGGAUGAUGCAAAUAGAGAAGAUAUUUGAUGUACAAAAUUGUUCGGAUGAUCAAAAGAUUUCUUUUGCCACCUUAUAUUGGAAGUAGAGGCUGAUCAUUAAUGGGAACAAUGAAAAGAAUUUUUGGAGAUCAGUGGUAAGAAUGAUAAGGACAAGUUUACUAAUAAAAAUAUGAUUGGAAAUGAAUCAGAAAGUAAUACACAAAAGAGUUAAGAUAUUUGGAUUUAAAAGUGGAAGUCACCACAAAAGACUUAAUCCUGUAUAAGAUACGAGUUAAAUUAUGAAAUAAGUUUGUGUUUGUGGGUGACUAGAGUCUAUUUUGUUUGUGAAAAGUUGGAUCAUAAAAUAAAAGACUACCCAUUGAACUAGAAGAAAGAGUCACUGCCUCCUAAAUCAUCAGCCCAUGUCAGACUGUAUGCUAUCACUGAAUAUGAUUCUAAAACUUCUGAAUUAGUGGUCGAAGGUAUUAUUCAUGUUUAUAAAAGAAUGUAAAUAUUUGUUUGACUAUGGGUCCCAUCUACGAUUUGAUUCGUAAUAUUUUGCUUAUCAUUUGGGUAUUCAACCUAGACCACUGCAUUAUGUGCUAUAUGUAAAUACGAUCAUUGGAGAUUCUUUGAUAACGAACUUGAAUCUGGUCCUCUUGUUUGAUUUUUAUUGGAGAACUUGAACUUUUUGCUGAUUUAGUUCUCCUAGAGAUUUAAAAUUUUGAUAUUAUACUUGGUAUGAAUUGGCUAUCUUCUUAUCAUACCAGUAUGGAUUGUUAUAUAAUAAAUGAUCACUAUUUACAUAUUAGAUCAGCCCAUCUUUUAUUUUGAGAGUAUUGGACAUGAUUUAUCUCCUUGCCUAAUGUAUCCCAAGAUGACUUGCCCGGAUUACCUCCAAAUGUGACUCUGCUUUUGAUUUGGUCAUUGGGAUAAUCUCAAUAUCUAAGCCUCUCUAUAUAAUGACAUCAUUUGAGUAAGUGAAAUUAGAAAAGUAAUAACAAGGACUAUUAAAUAAGAAUUUUAUUUGGCUUAAUAUUUCAUCUUGGGGUGAUUCGGUGUUAGUUAAAAAGAUGGAUGGAACAUUGAGACUUUACAUUAAUUUUAGACAAAUGAAUCAGGUGACCAUCAAAAACGAGUAUUCUCUAAAGUAACGACUUGUUUGAUUAACUGGAGGGUGCAUAAGUAUUUUCAAAGAUUGAUCGAAGAUCGGGUUACCAUCUAUUAAGGAUCAAAGAGAAGAAUAUUUCGGUCACUCUUGGAUAAUUAUGUAAUUGUAUUGUAUUGAUGAAACUAUUUGAGAGCAGGAGGAGGAAAUAAAGAAAUUAUAAUUCUCAUCUUUUCAUCGAUUGAGCUAUGAUCAAUUUAGAGAACUAAAUUUUCUUUUAAGGGGGGGGGGAGAGUGUAAUAUCCCUCACUUUUGAAAAUUUAUUAAUAAAGAUUUAUAUGUAAAUUGAAAGACCUAUAUGUAAAUAUAGAAAUUUCAAGUACUAAACUGUUAAGUUGCAAAAAAAAAAAAAAUCAAAAAUUUUGGUUUUAUCCUACCGCCUCCCACGCUCUCUAUGAGAGAGGAGCUGUGGGGCGUGGGGAGGAGAAGAAGAGAAGUAGAGGGAGAAGAGAAGAAAGGAAGAAGAAGAGGGAAAAGAAGAGAGGAAGAAGAGGGAGAAGAGAAGAGAAGAAGAAGAGAGGGAAGAGGGAGAGGAAAGAGAGAUAGUUGCAGCAGCUAGGGCUGCAGCACCUCUGUUUCGUGUAGGAGGAAACAGAGGAGUUCAUGUGUGGGGCGUUGGGGAGGUAAAGGGAAGAAGAAGAAGAAGAAGAAGAAGAAGAAGAAGAAGAAGAAGAAGAGGUGGCUGUGGCAAGGGCUGCAGCGAGGAGCUGUGGGGCAUUGGGGAGGAGAAAGGAAGAAGAGGAGAAGAAGAAAAGAAGAAGAAGAGGGAAAGGAAGAAGAGGGAGAAGAGAAGAAUAGAAGAAGAAGAAAAAGAGAGAGAAGUGGGAGAGGAGCGAGAGGUAGCAGUAGCUAGGGCUGCAGCACCUCUGUUUCCUGCAGGCGGAAACAGAGGAGACGAGGUGUGGGGCGUUGGGGAGGAGAAGAAGAAGAAGAGGAAAAAGAAGAAGAGAAAAAGGAAAAAAAGAUGGAUGGUUGCGGCAUGGGCUGCAGUGAGAAGGUGUGGGGUGUCGGGUAGGAGAAGAGAAGAAGAGGAUAAGAAGAAGGAGAAGAAGUAGAAGCGGGUGAAGAGGCAGCACCUCUGUUUCCUGCAGGAGGAAACAGACGAGAGGAGGUGCUGUUCGUCGGGGAGAAGAAUGGGAGGAAGGAGAAGAAGAGAAGAAGAAGAAAGGAAGGAGUAGGAAGAGGAGAAGGGAAAGAAGCAGCUGCGGCUGCGGCUGUGGCAGCUGCAGCUGUGGCAGGGAAAGAGGAAGAGGAAGGAAGAAGGGAAGGAGAGGAAGAAGAGAAGGGGAAGAAGGGGCUGCGGCUGCGGCGAUGGCAGCUGCAGUUGGUAGAGAAGAAGGAGAGGAAGAUGAGCAGGGGAGGAAGAAGAGGCUGUGGCCAUGGCUGAGGCUGCGACUGCAGUAGUGCAGCUAGGAAAGAAGAGAAGGAAAGGAAGAAGAAGAGAAAGGAAAAGGGAAGAAGAGAGGAAGAGGAGAAGGGGAGGCAGCUACGGCAAUGGCAGCUGCGGCUGGAAGAGAAGGAGAGGAAACAGAGCAGGGGAGGAAGAAGAGGCUGCGGCUGUGGUGGCCGCGGCCGUGGCUGUGGUGGUCGCGGCCAUGGCUGCGACUGCGGUUGCGACUGCAACGUUGGCUGCGGUAGCUACGGCAGCGGUGGUGGCUGCAGCAGCUGCUUUUGGGAAAUAGAAAGAAAGGAAAAGGGAAAAAAAAAAGGGGCUAUGGCCGUGAUUGCGGCUGCGAUGGUGGCGGCUGCAUCUGCGGCAGUUGUGUUUGGGAAAGAAAAAAAGAAAAAAUGAGAGAAGGGAGGAAGGAAGUAGUGUAGUGGAAGGGACUGCGGUCGUGGCUACGACUGUGGUAGUGGCAGCGGCGAUGGCUGCAACAGCCGUGUUUGAAAAAAAAAACGAAGAAAUUAGAGGAAGAGAGAGAGCAGGUGACUAUGCCUCUAUGUUUUGCAUGAGCUGUAGUUAUGGAGGAAAAAGAGAAGACAUAUGUAGAAAAUGAAACAAGGAGAGGACACGGAGGAAAAGUAGAAGGAUUUGAGCUGACACCUUCUUUGGAUCUUCGGAUCAAAAUCUUUGAAAGGCAAGUGUUCCAAUCCUUCCUAUUGUAAGCUUUCUAAUCUUUUCUAUUGCAAGUGUCCUGAUCUUUCCUUACUAGAAUUUUAUCUCUACAUUUGCUUUGAAUACGAGGAACUUUAAAUUGUUCUAGCCUUGCAUUUGAUAUAUCUCCUAUUUAGACAUAACGAUUUGAAUCUGUGCAACUUCUGAGAUUCUGACCUUUUGAUACCGAGCUGCCUAUAAGUCUUUGUUGGAAACUCCGAUUUGUUCAAAGCUGAUUUCAUUGGAAAUUAGACUCGUAGAUCUUUCUUUUGAUAUAUAGAUUGAAAGAUUUGGAGUCCAAACACCUGCCUAGUUAUCUGUUGAAUCUGACCUUAUGAAUUAUGCCAAACAGAGAUUUUGUUCUACGUCCCUUGUUUACCAAAUUAUUUAUAACUCCCUCUGUUGGAUAGUUCAAUUUAUAUGAAGCUUAUUUUAUCUGGAAGUAGAUUGAAAUAUCUUUCCAAUGAUAUAUUUCUGAGUAAAUUGGAGUACGAUUGAUAGUUUGAAUCAUUUGUUCAAUGUGCCUCUUGAAUUCUGCCAGAAAUCAAGCUUUGGUCGAUUUCGCAUAUUCUGGUUUCAUUCCUUUAGAAAUUGAUUUCAUCUAACCUUCUUAUUUGAAUCGAGCUAUAUGUGAUUGCUUGGAAUCCUUGUACGCUCUUGCUUUCAUUUCCUUUCAAAUCUGAAUACAUUUGUGAAGGAUUAUGUUUGCAUCGUAUUGACUCAUAAAGACACAUGUACAUUUCGUUGUUCCGCAUGUGCUUCUGAUAUGUCCCAAUUUAUUGUUCACAAUACCUUUUGUACUAUGGUGUUUGUGGGAUUAUUUGGACCUUUACCAGAAAUGGUAAAGGGUAUGUGCUUAGAGUCCGCGAUGCUCUAGAUUAUGUUUGGUGGUCAUUCAUAAAUGGAUGAAUCAUAUUAUGUUUGGAAUCCCACUUCAACAUCUAUCUAUUUGAUAUGAAAUUCAGAGCCGAACUAGCAUUUGGGCAGGGUGAGAGGGCUCGAGUAGGAAAGGGCAACCCGUGGAUGGAGUCGAGAACUCAUCACGGCGUGGAGCCACCAUUGAGUUAAACCUCACAUGCACUAUGCUAAGGUCAAGUUGUCACUCUUUGAGAUGUUUUGAAUUGGGCUGAGGUAGUGGAGAGCUAUUCAGAAUUAUGGGCAAGUCUUGUUGGUUAUUAUGUUAUUAUUGUAUAAGCAUAUUUUGUAUGAAAUGAAAUGUUGUCGAUGAAUCGAAAUGGAUAUACUGUGUAAAAGUGUUAGAAGAUCUCUCUUACUUGGAAUUUCAGAAUGUUAAGUCUAAUUUAUGUUGAUAUGAACUUAUGGUGAAUAGUUGGAGUUCUGAUUGUAUAAUUUAUUUAGCUUGUGGAUUUAUAAAUGUUGUUCAUGUUUUUUAAGUUGGUUUGGGUUGUCAUAAA